rnacentral:rRNA from 1 species
GACGAACGCUGGCGGCGUGCCUAAUACAUGCAAGUCGAACGCAGUGGGGACGGGUGAGUAACACGUGGGUAACCUCCCAUCAGAGGGGAUAACACUUGGAAACAGGUGCUAAAACGAUACUGAUGGAUGGACCCGCGGUGCAUUAGCUAGGUGGCUAGGUAACGGCUCACCAAGGCCACGAGGCAUAGCCGACCUGAGAGGUGGAUCGGCCAUACUGAGAUUUAUACACUGCCCAGACUCCUACGGGAGGCAGCAGUAGGGACUGGUCGGCAAGGGACGAAAUUCUGACCUAGCAACGCCGCGUGAGUGAAGAAGGUUUGCGGAUCGUAAAACUCUGUUGUUAGAGAAGCGGUAUCUAACCAGAAAGCCACGGCUAACUACGUGCCAGCAGCCGCGGUAAUUC